GCUCAGGAUGAACGCUAGCUACAGGCUUAACACAUGCAAGUCGAGGGGCAGCAUGGUCUUAGCUUGCUAAGGCUGAUGGCGACCGGCGCACGGGUGAGUAACACGUAUCCAACCUGCCGUCUACUCUUGGCCAGCCUUCUGAAAGGAAGAUUAAUCCAGGAUGGGAUCAUGAGUUCACAUGUCCGCAUGAUUAAAGGUAUUUUCCGGUAGACGAUGGGGAUGCGUUCCAUUAGAUAGUAGGCGGGGUAACGGCCCACCUAGUCAACGAUGGAUAGGGGUUCUGAGAGGAAGGUCCCCCACAUUGGAACUGAGACACGGUCCAAACUCCUACGGGAGGCAGCAGUGAGGAAUAUUGGUCAAUGGGCGAUGGCCUGAACCAGCCAAGUG
rnacentral:rRNA from 1 species